UACGGGGGGUGCGAGCGUUGUCCGGAAUCACUGGGCGUAAAGGGCGCGUAGGUGGUUUGAUAAGGGUGUGGUGAAAGUCCGGAGCUCAACUCCGGAUCUGCCGUGCCGACUGUCAAACUCGAGGGCUGUAGAGGCAGACGGAAUUCCGGGUGUAGCGGUGGAAUGCGUAGAGAUCCGGAAGAACACCGGUGGCGAAGGCGGCCUGCUGGGCAGUUUAGCUGACACUGAGGCGCGACAGCGUGGGGAGCAAACAGG
rnacentral:rRNA from 1 species